UACGUAGGUGGCAAGCGUUGUCCGGAAUUACUGGGUGUAAAGGGUGCGCAGGCGGGACUGCAAGUUGGAUGUGAAAAUUCGAGGCUUAACCUCGAACCUGCAUCCAAAACUGUAGUUCUUGAGUGAAGUAGAGGUAGGCGGAAUUCCGAGUGUAGCGGUGAAAUGCGUAGAUAUUCGGAGGAACACCAGUGGCGAAGGCGGCCUACUGGGCUUUAACUGACGCUGAGGCACGAAAGCAUGGGGAGCAAACAGG
rnacentral:rRNA from 1 species